rnacentral:RNase_P_RNA from 1 species
UCCGCAGACCGCCUUAUCGUCCCGAUUUUUAUCGGGAAGGAAAGUCCGGACACCACAGAGAAGCAUAGCGGGUAACGCCCGUCGUCCCGAUUUAUCGGGAUAGGACAAGUGCAACAGAAAGUAUGUACAGGUAAUGCUGUAGUGAAACCAGGUAAACUCUAUGCGGUGAAAUUUCAAGUAUAUCGACAUUUAAGGGUACUCGCCCGUUGUCGAAGGGUAGAAAGAUGGAGCGUGUGAGCAAUUGCACGCCUAGAUAAAUGAUAAGGCUCCGAUUUAUCGGAGACAGAAUCCGGCUUAUAGGUCUGCUUUUUUA